rnacentral:rRNA from 1 species
GACGAACGCUGGCGGCGUGCUUAACACAUGCAAGUCGAACGGAAAGGCCCUGCUUUUGUGGGGUGCUCGAGUGGCGAACGGGUGAGUAACACGUGAGUAACCUGCCCUUGACUUUGGGAUAACUUCAGGAAACUGGGGCUAAUACCGGAUAGGAGCUCCUGCUGCAUGGUGGGGGUUGGAAAGUUUCGGCGGUUGGGGAUGGACUCGCGGCUUAUCAGCUUGUUGGUGGGGAGUGGCUUACCAAGGCUUUGACGGGUAGCCGGCCUGAGAGGGUGACCGGCUACAUUGGGACUGAGAUACGGCCCAGACUCCUACGGGAGGCAGCAGUGGGGAAUAUUGCACAAUGGGCGGGAGCCUGAUGCAGCAACGCCGCGUGCGGGAUGACGGCCUUCGGGUUGUAAACCGCUUUCGCCUGUGACGAAGCGUGAGUGACGGUAAUGGGUAAAGAAGCACCGGCUAACUACGUG